GGCAAUGGACGGAAGUCUGACCGAGCAACGCCGCGUGAGCGAAGAAGGUUUUCGGAUCGUAAAGCUCUGUUGUAAGAGAAGAACGAGUGUGAGAGUGGAAAGUUCACACUGUGACGGUAUCUUACCAGAAAGGGACGGCUAACUACGUGCCAGCAGCCGCGGUAAUACGUAGGUCCCGAGCGUUGUCCGGAUUUAUUGGGCGUAAAGCGAGCGCAGGCGGUUAGAUAAGUCUGAAGUUAAAGGCUGUGGCUUAACCAUAGUACGCUUUGGAAACUGUUUAACUUGAGUGCAAGAGGGGAGAGUGGAAUUCCAUGUGUAGCGGUGAAAUGCGUAGAUAUAUGGAGGAACACCGGUGGCGAAAGCGGCUCUCUGGCUUGUAACUGACGCUGAGGCUCGAAAGCGUGGGGAGCAAACAGGAUUAGAUACCCUGGUAGUCCACGCCGUAAACGAUGAGUGCUAGGUGUGAGACCCUUUCCGGGGUUUAGUGCCGCAGCUAACGCAUUAAGCC
rnacentral:rRNA from 1 species